GUCGCCGCCGUCGUCCCGCUCCCGCGGGGCACCUUCCACGGCGUCGAUCGCCACCUUGACCAACCCCUUGAUGAGCCCCUCCAUGGAGUGGAAGUGGAGGUGGAUCCGACUGGCUGUUUGCCUGUUGGGAUCUGGGUGAGGGAGGGGUGGGGGGAGAUUAGGAAGGCUUUUAAGCUCGGAGGGUGCGCCGUGGGUGGACUAGUCGGGUGGUUGAGGAAGGAUUUGCACGUGGUGAUCGCCGAUUCGGUGGGUGGAGUACUGCGGAUGGCCGACGACGAUGAGCUAGUAGUAUCCUGUCCGGUAAUUAACCGCUGCCGACAGUCAGGGUCCAGUUCACCGCGUUGGAACUUGCCAACCUCCAGCGAGUCCCUGCCUUGGCUGGCGCAGAUCCGACGUGUCGGCGCACCGCGCACCGCGAUACCACCAGGCCAAUCCAACCCUUUCAAUUUUUUUUAGAGAGAAGGCCCAUCGCCUUCAGGCUUUAGGUACUGGACUAGUGGACUGCCCAUGUCCAUGUCCGGUUAGGCCCCAAGUAUACUGGACCUACAAACCAACGUUGGGCCAUACUUCCAAUACACAACAUUGAAUAAAUGAUGGGCCGACGACCCCACCUUGGAUAUUUAUUCACGUGGUUACCAUUCGUGCCUUUGCAGUGGAGAAAAAUUAAAGUUUUGAGUAGCACAUCGUCUUCGUCGGGAUUCACCGGUUCACCUCACCUCGUGCCGUCAUCUUGUCACUGAGAGGGUGGGGGUGGGGGGCAUCCAAAAGUAUUUAGUAAUAUGAGUCAUGCAGUCAUCAUCGGCAAUGCUACGAUGGAGUGUGCGAUCCCGUCAGAUUCUUCCGUUGUUGCGACAAUGCCUUAUCAAACGACUUGUGCCCAAUUGUCGUAACUUCUUUGUUGUGGGGCUGGGUGCUGUCUGCUAGGUGAUAUGGAAAACUUGAAAUGUUGUAUGCUUUGAAAAGAAAACUGUGCAUCAUCCUUCGGCAGUGAUUUUCUUACUGUGCUCUUUCCUCCAGUACUGGACGGCAUUGCAGAGUCAAGAUCAGCGACUUGCGAUGAAGGAUGGGGCAAAUGGCCUAACGCUGGCGACUAUUCAGCUGCUGCGAAGACUUCAGGAGUGUCAGGCGGCUAGGAUGACUAGGGGCAUUAUCGAGGCUAGCUGACUCCAAAACUUCUGUUUUGCUCAUUCGGCCCCCUGGAUGUGGGUCUGUAAGCGUUUGGAGUUUGCGCUAACUGCACUUGUUUCGCUCUUUCUGCCAUGCUACAUUGCUCUGCUGUAGGAAGCAGUUUUUUGGUGGCAGCAGGUUUUCGCCCCAUAGUGCUGUAAACCGAGCCGGCUGCAACACAAUGGGUUUCCUACUUGUGUCCGGAUGAUCCGUUUUCCCAUUCUCUAUUUUCUGCUUUUGCCAGAUGUAAGAGACAAAUGUUGUUUCCAUUUCUAUGGAAUGGAAAAUGGGGUCGCCCGAUUCAAAAAAUGCCUUAUCAAACGGUGCCACGGGACAAGAGAACUUUAGUCACCACAUGUUAUGUUUUUGAUCUUACAGAUUUUUGGUUUGUGUCCUUGUAGAUCCGUUCAUACGGAUUUGAUGAGUUUUUGCGAGUGUAUCAUAGACUCAUAGUGCUUUUGUUAAUAUGACCUUGUGGUUUGACGAUUCUAGGGGAUCAUCAUCGGCCCAAGUACGUUCAACAUUCGUGACUUUCCAUCUUAAUUUUUGGAUGGGCAACUUAAGGGGAUUUUUUAAGGAGUGAGUUCCAUUUUUUACCCCCUCUUUUGAAACUUUUUGACACAAUCUACCCUAUUUAAGGGCAUUUCCAAAAUUAUACCCCAUUUAAACAAACCUUUGCCAAUAAUUACCCCAUUUAAUAUUUUUUUCCCAAAUCUGAGCCUUCGGGUUCGGUUUUCUUCUGUCUCCAUGCUUAUUUUUAGUGAGAGAGCAUUUCAGGCUCCAUGCAGACCUGCGCGGGCGUGACUUGGGCCGUGAAUCCCGGAUUCAGUACAUAGCCAUCCAAAAGUGCCCAACGUGAGCCCUGCCCACAAUUCCCCGUCGAUUGCAUCCAUCUUCUCCUCUCUUCCUUCCAGCGGCAUCCACUGACAAGGGAGUACUUGCUUGAGCUCACAAUGUCCUGACAUGAAAAGUAGAUUAGCCACACCACAAACUAAACACUACACCAGCAGGAAUAAAGUUUGAGAAACCCCAAAAUCCAAUGAUAUGCGUCAGUCCUCUCUUCGUGACCACAAUCCCCAAAUCACCAACGAAAUCAGAGAUGAAAUACGUUAAGGAGAUGGAAAGGGAAAGGAAACGAGGCGGACGAAUGGACCUUCCACGAAGAAUCGCAAUUCCUGGAAUAUAUGGGGAGCUACGGAAUUGCCAAUCCCACUGGCUUCCGUUUCGCUGGCGACCUCGGCCGCGCCAUCUGAGUGCAGGCCUGGAGAAACACCGAGUUGAACCCGGCUCAGCACCCGCGGUGGCUGUUUUCUCCGCAGUCGUUGCAGCCUAACCCUAGCCCGUGAGAGACAGACAGAACGAACGAGAAAGAGAUACAGAGAAAGACGAACCGGGCAAGCCCAGGUCGGAUCGAACCGAACAAAACUGGCGCCUGACCUGAACCUGGCAGAAUCGGGCGGUUCGGCCCCAAAGGCCAGCGUGGCACGCCACGUAGGCCUGAAAAGGGGCCCCCACUCACCAGGAAAUGCCUGAUUUGGGGGGAAAUAUUAAAAGGGGUAAUUAGCGGCAAAGGUUUGGUUAAAUGGGGUACAAUUUUGGAAAUUCGCUUAAAUGGGGUAGAUCGUGUCAAAAAGUUUUAAAGAGGGGGUAAAAAAUGGAAUUCACUCUUUUUUAAACCUUUAAAGGUAGUUAACUUCGGGCAGGCACGAGUAGAGGUGUUGCCACUACAGUUUAACUGCGGUCACUUUACUAAGGCCUCGACAAUAUUUCAUAUUGCAAAGAUUGAUAUCAUGGACAAGAGUCUUCGAGAUGUUUCAUUAAACUUCUUGGUUAUAGGUGUUAAUUUGUAAUUUCCUGGGUCAAUAAUCCAAACACUAUACCUAUAAAGACUAUGGAGUUUGAAUAAAGCUACGGGUUAUUCUAAAAGAAAAUCAAGCCCCUAUUUUUUCGAGAGAUAAUGGCCCUAGGGUUGCCUCUCGUUUUCUCUCUUCUUAAUUACACGCAGAUUUUUUCUGAUGAGUGAAUACCACGUCCUAACGUUUUGCAUAAAUUCUCAGAAACUUCAACAAAUUAAGAUGGAGUACACAUGAUAACCUACAAGCGGGAAACUCUUGUUUCAGUUAUUGUUCGGCGUUCUUCCUUCCGCUGCAUGACCUAAUUCUACGACGCUAGCUUCCAAACAUGGCACGCUUUCUUUUACUUUUACUGAAUGAUAUUCAUUUUCAUCGGUCACACAUGGCAUCUUUUUGGAACUUUAUUAGGUAAAUAUUUUUCUAUCCGUAUUCGCGCCCAACGCAUUAAUUAGAAGCGUGUCGACACGGCUAUCCACAAACUAAAACGAUCACAGGACACCCCCACAUGCAAUGAAAAAUAUAAAAUGCUUCAAUAGAGAAAACACCAAUGCUUGGCCGUAUCUGUGUCGCCAGCCACCAUGCAUGUUAACGCCUAUCUGCCUACAUGCCAGAGACAUUGCUGAUUGGGAUCAUGACCUUGCUGAUCUUGUCAUUGACAAAACCGCCAAUGUCUACCGCAUCAUUAAAAACAGCAACACCUUGUUUGUUAAUGCCAUCGACGGUGUGCAUCUCGACUUGGUCAUGCCAUCGAUCCAGUGCUUGAAGUUGGCUUCUAGGGCGGCCAUCCAAGACAUGUAUCAACUCUCCUUCUUGGUGUUGAAGAUGUAUUCGUCAAACCCUAUGAUCUCGUAUUGCAUACCUUGAUCUUCUUCUCCCUCUCUAUCCAUGUUGUCACUCUUCUCUCUCUCUCUCUCUCUAGGAGAUUAAUUAUAAGUGAUGAGUCAUCGCGAUGGAACGGAUUGAGAAGAAGGGGAAGGUGAAACCAGGUGUAAUGUGAGGAUUUUAUGACUUGUAACACGAUGAAGCACACCAGCUUAGCGAUAGUUUGGAGGAGGGGCACGCGCGUAUGAGGUGUCGACUAUGGGGUAUUUUCGAUAGAUCGUCACAGGCACAACCCUAGGCCUACAUAAUGGAAUCUCGGAAAAAGUUAUGUGCCGACAUAACGGAAUGGAGGUAGUGCCCUAUACGGAACUACUCUGCGUACGACAGAAAUCGUAUGAUCUAUGUCCGAUGCCUAGGUGAUCUAUUGAUAUUUGCUUAGCCCGAAGGCCCAAGCCUAGGUGCCACGGUGGAUUUUGCUAAGCUUGCUAGCUAUUCAAAUCGUAUGAUUUGUGUCGUACACAUAGCACUGCUCUGCCCUAUACCUGCGGGGAAUUUAUCUUUUUAAAUAUUCUUGUUCUUGUUGCAUGAUCACCUAAUGCUAACGGGAUUCGAAAACGAGCUGCAUGUUCUUUUAUUGUGUUUUGCUAUACAUGUGUGAUGUAAAUUUAUCGGUUGUGAGGUAUUUUGCUGGGCCUUUAAUUGGUAAAUAUUUUUUUAUCAAAAUAAUUAUUUUAGCAAAUAAAUGUAAUUAAGGCCAUUAGACAAAUCUAGCAAGUGAGUGAAGACCCAUUAGUCGGACCACAGGGAUAGCUACAAACCGUCUACUCAGAAAUCCAGCACCAAACUUCCUGUCCCACAUGUCAGGGUGGAGAAAGAAAAAAACCACACAUCCCGCGAGUACGUCCGUCAGUCAGUCCCUAGCUUUUCUGUUCUCGGGCGAGGAAGAGCAUCAGCAGGCUGUGGCGGUGAAGAAGGCUGCCGAGGAGAAGUUAUUGGGGGUGAAGGAAGAGAUCGUUUCGGAGAACGGGGAGGAUCAGCAGCUAGCUGCCGUGGAGGUCCAGAAGAAGAAGAAGGCCAACAGGGCCAUGGCCAAGGAGAUGAAGCAGCCGGCCAGCAGUAUCAUGGACAAAGUACUGAAGAAGAAGUCAGCCAUGCGCUUGGAAUCUAUAGAGAAGAAGAAGAAGAAGCCUGCUCGUCCUGUUGAGAUCCCAGAGACGGAAGAGGUGGAGCCUGAGGAGGAAGCUGGGGUUGAAGGCGCUGAGGGCUAUGUCGCAGCAGGCGAGCAGGAGAAGGAAGACGAGGAGGGCAGCAACAAGGAAGGAGAGGAGGUCGUGAGCACAAGGAAGUUUGAGGGCAUCCUUGUGCUGACCAAUCCGGACAAAUACCAAGGACGACAAGAAAGUUGCAAACCAGACUCGGGCAAGCUUCAAGUCGCCGCUGCCAUCGCGCCACCAAUCGGACUACUGCAAGAACCAUGGGGCGAUCAACCGGCCGAUAGACAUCGAUCAGCUUUCUGACAGCGAGGGUGGCCAUUAUGGGUUUUACCUCCGUAUCAUUUUCCUUCGAAAAUAAGCAUUUGAGUCUUAGAUUCGUCUCACAUGCAAGUCCAAACAUAAUAAGUCAGCUUGAUAUAUUGCCUAUUUACUUUAUAUAUAUAUCUGCUAUUUGAUAUAGCUAGUUUCAUGAUCAACAUAUUGUUUUAGUAUAUAUACGUAGAAUGGUCACCAACGCUAUUUGGUCCCUAAUUAAAGAUAUCUAGACUAACUUUUACCGACAAUGGUCACUAAAGAAGAAUAUGUCAAUAGCUACCCAAUAUAACCAGUGACUAAAAGUAGAAUCAAUGGUUAUGAAGCAGAUGAUGGCGACUAGUGGUAUUUAGCAACCAAGGGAUAGUUGGUAAUGAAACAAAAGCAUUUUACCACCGUGUAUUUGGAUGAUGACUAGAUAUAUCUUGUAACCAAGGGAUGCUUAGUAACUAGAAACAUUUAGUCACCAUGCAUCCACCAAUCGGUGUGAACUCUCGGAGUACGUUGACUAGGGGUCUUAGAUGUUUAGGUUGAGGUCACCGCCACCCGCAUUGCUUCGGUUGCACCGACAGUCCUUCGAUGACAGGGGCAAAGCUCUCCAUCUUCGAUGUACGUGGAUGGAAGUGAAUUGCAGCAUGAGGGUCAACAAGAAUGGCCGCACCCAUCAGGCCGGCUCUGAGAGUAUGGUAUUCAAGAAAAGAAGUAAACCCCGGCCCGCGGUACCCUAGAAGCGGGAAACUUGUGUUUAUGUUCAUUCUAUUUUAUCUAUAAUAAGUGUUAUCUAACUUCCACGACUGCUCUUUUUUUUUCAAAACAAUAAUAAGCAUAUUUUUUUUUAUCAAAUGAUGUGAUCAUACCAAAUAAAUGCAAGAGAAACGAACAAUUCUAGCAAGUGUGCCUGAAGCAUGACUAUCUACAGUUACUGGACCACAGUGGAAGCACCAACCAUGACAGCUAGGCCCCGCAUACUACGAAUUGCUCUAUUUCUGAGGACUCUAAUGGAGGAAGAAUUUCUAUUUUAACAAGUCUUUCUAUUCCCCCCUCGAAAUAUGGCCUAAACGACAGUGCCAUAAUUUCGAUGAUUCAUGAGUCCUCUUUCUUUUCUUUUGUACUUUCUCUGACGCGGCAACAUGUUCAUUCACUUUACACACAAAAUAUACCUUUUCAUGUAUGGAUAAUAAAUAAAGCUCAUUGUGAAGGAAGGCAACACCCACAAAAUCAUUAUUAAACCAUAUGACACACUCACUACUACAGAAUACCCCUUCCAUGAACCCUCACCAGUGGCGGUUAUUUUCAUUCAAAACAUCACAGCCACUGGUGAGGUCACCAGUGGCGGUCAUUUCCAUGAAAAAAAUCACCGCCACUGGUGAGGGUCACCAGUGGUGGUCAUUUUCAUUCAAAAAAUCAUAGCCACUGGUGCGCACAGCCACCGGUGACCUCUUAGAACAGCCACUGGUGACCCCCCACCUACCAGUGGCUGUCCUAAGCGCGAACCCGCCACUCCGGAGACCGCUAAAAUUUGCAAAAAUCAUAACUAAUUCAAAACAAAUCCAAACAAUGUGAUUCUUUUUGCUGAAGUCUUCAUUUCUGUUCCUUAACACGUUGGAACAAUAAUAUCACAUGGUAUUUCUGAUAAAAUAUGAUUUUCUAUUUUUUAAUGCAAAAAAGAAGUAUUUUGUGAAGGAAGUACAAUUUUUAUGGUUCAAAAUGGAACCUAUGCAAUUUUCACAGAACUAGACCAUAAUUAUUUGGUUGUGUCCACAGGUUUUGAAUUUUAUAGCUUUAUUUAUGCUUUUAUCCAGUUAAUGAAUUUCUAGCGAUUUUCCAAAAGUAAUUCAAAUUUGAACUACAAUUGUGUGAUAGUUUGUUCGUAAAAAAUCGAAAAAAAUCAUUUUAAGGUACCCAAGUAAUAAUUAUGUAAGAUUCUUACAGGAUGUUGAAAUAUUCAACACCAUCCUAUGGAAAGUUGUGCCGACAAUUUUCACCCCAUCUUGCAAAAAUUCUAAUAAUAUGAAGCAAGUGUAAAAAAAAGUCAAUUCUUUGGCAUGGAAUCCUUUUAUGUGUACUAGUUGGCAAGAAAAAUGAUAAACUUGAAUUUGAAAAAUGUUUAGAAAAAUCUUUCACAAAAUGGACUAUGAAGUAUGAAUGUUUAUGAGUUUCAAGCCAAAUGACUAAAGGCACGGCCAUUUCUAUAUCAUAGUUCAUGAUAAUGAAUCCAAUUUUUGCACAAAGGUGCAUCUUUGCAUGCCCAACAAUAUUGUCAAAGAAUUUAGAAAUUUGUAGUUAUUAAAAGAAGUUUUUCAUUUUCUAAACACAAAAGAUGAUGUAUUUUGUGAAGCAAACUCUAUUAAUAUGGGUCAAAAUCGAUCCCAAUUUUCACACAAAAUAGACUAUCUAUAUAAAGUUAUAAACCAAUUCAAUUAUAAUCCAAAAUACAAGUAUAUUGUACUAAAAAGAAAAAAAGAAAAUGAAUUUUAGACCCUCCAAUGGCGGUUUUGCAAUAAAACCCGCCACUCGAGGUAGAUUUUGUUCAGGUUGAAACUGUGAUCCGUGUGCUGUAACCCGAUUGGUCGAAGUGGGAGGACCCGGAUCCGUGACGUGUAACAAUCGCAUCUGCUUAUUCUCAAAAUCGUGGGCGCCUCCUCUUUCUCCCGAGACUUCUUUCUCUCCCCCUACCUAGACUUCUCUGUUCCUUCUAUCUUUCCUCCCCCCGUGAGCUCUCUCCUCCCUCCCUCUCCUCUUCCUUCUCUCUUUCCUCCCCUCCGGCCUCCCUCUCCAGAUCCGUGCCGCCCCUCCUCUUCUCUCCGAACAGGCGCCCGCCGCCUCUCCUCUUCUCUCCUCUCCGGUCACGCACCCGCCCCCCUCUGUCUUCUCCCAGGCCCACCUCCCACCUCCUGCGGAUCCAGCCUGCCCCGGCCAAGACGUGUCCGGAUUCGGCCUCCCCUGGCCUAGACGCGGUUGGAUCCGUGCUCCACCGACCUCGAUGCCCCGGCCCCGCCGCCGCCCAAGCGCCCCUGACCCCGCCUUUGCCGGAUCCGGGCCUGCCCUGCCGCCGGGUAAGUUAUCUCUCCCCCUCGUCUCUCUCUCUCUCUCAGUCACACUCCACUCAGUCACACUCUCCCUCUCUGCCGCAGAUGACCGAGGAGGAUGCCGCCGCACCGCCACCGAGGAGACGAAGAGGGCGCUUGCCGGAGGGUUUCCACGCGGCCGCGAUGGGGGCCUGCGCCAUGAUUUUUUUUCCAGUUUGUUUAUGUACAGAUGUGUGAUUUGAUUUCUUGAUUCAUCUCGGUCUGUUCUAUCGAGUUCAUUAAUCGAUUUCGAUUUGUAAAUCCCAUGGGAGCCGGCCGCUGGCCUGCUUUUUUUUUAAAUCAUGCAAAUGUUAUCAGUGGCGGUGAAUUUGCACCGCCAUUAGAGAUCACAGCACCAGUGGCGGUGCAAGGACCCGUCAUUGCUGCUCACAGCACCAGUGACGUGUGGAUGGUGGCGGGCGACAUACCCGCCACCAACCCAUUUUUUUUACAGCCACUGGUAGCAUAUUCUGUAGUAGUGACUUGCCAUGUCCAAAAUGACAUUCAUAAUCAACUUUGUCCAAACGUGAUACACUAAUCAAGUUUCUUUGUAAUGAAGGAACAUAAAACACAUCUCUAAGCAGAAUCGUGAAUCCAUCGGGAAGCUCCAAGGAGAUGUCGCCGACAGCUUCAACGUCCGUUGGACUCCAUUUGCAACUUCAAUGCAUUUUUCGUUUCUUUGCGUAGUCCGCGUCGAAAGGAAUCCCUAUAAAGAAUUUGCGACAUGAGCAAUUGCACCAGAGUCAAUCCACUAAGUAGAUUUCGAAAACUGUGUAUACAAGGAUUCAUUUAGAAAGGAAAUGGAGUUAUACCAUUCUUUGUCAUGAUUGACUUUAGCCAUUCUGGGCAAUCUUUCUUGUAAUGCCCAGUCUUCUUGCAGUGGAGGCAUGUAUCUUUGUCCACUGGAAAAGACUUUUGCUGAUGCUGAUGUUGCAUGGGAGCUUUACCAUGUGGCUUUGAAAGAGAACUUUGAUUGCCUUGAUUGAAGUUAUUUUUCUUAUUAUCCCUCACAUAGUUCAGGGAACCACCAUAUGACUACUUAAUUCUGUCCUCUUCUUGCACACACAUGGCUAUAGUCUUUUCAAUAUCCCACCGCUCUGGUUGCAUAUUGUAAUUGACAACAAAAGUGUCAAACUUUUUUGGCAAUGAAGCCAUAACCAGAUGAACAAGUAUUGCAGGCUUAAUCUCUAGAUCAGCAUCCAUGGGCUUCAAUUUAGAAGCCAUGUUGCUCAUCCCGAGGAUAUGCUCUCUUAUGCCAUGUCCUCCUCCUGUGUCGCCCCCCCCCCCACCUUCUCCCAACCCUCAUCAUUCCUCCUCUCCUCCUGAACACAGUUAGAAAAUCAACACCCGGAAGUGCCUCACGUUCGAUGGAGGUGUUACGAUUUUGUUGCGAUAGGAGUAAAUCAGGUGAGAAUUAACUCUUAAUCUACUAGUCCCACAGAAUCAGAUUAGUCUAAUCGUAACAUAAUCGGAGUGCGAACUAACCAUACAAUCGACAACAUUUGGCUCUAUUGACAAUUGCGUUAAUUAACAUAGCAGGCGCGCACCUCGGCCCACGUCGAACGAUCCCGCUGCUCGCGGCCCUCUUCCUCCUCUUGGUUGUCCCGCGCCGGGCGGUGGCUCCUCCGCGCCUCGUCGCCGCCGUCGUCCCACUCCCGCGGGGAACCUUCCACGGCGUCGAUCGCCACCUUGACCAACCCCUUGAUGAGCCCCUCCAUGGAGUGGAAGCGGAGGUGGAUCCGACUGGCUGUUUGCUUGUUGGGAUCUGGGUGAGGGAGGGGUGGGGGAGAUUAGGAAGGCUUAAGCUCGGAGGGUGCGCCGUGGGUGGACUAGUCGGGUGGUUGAGGAAGGAUUUGCACGUGGUGAUCGCCGAUUCGGUGGGUGGAGUACUGUGGAUGGCCGACGACGAUGAGCUAGUAGUAUCCUGUUCGAUAAUUAACCGCUGCCGACAGCAGGGUCCAGUUCACCGCGUGGGAACUUGCCAACCUCCAGCGAGUCACUGCGUUGGCUGCCGUGACCCGUCUUGGGCCGUGCCUGGGUCUUAGCCUCGAGCCCGCGGGCCGGCACGGCACGGCCCGUUUAACAUUUUUUUUUUAUUUUCUACAGCCCACGAGAGGGAAAUCAGGACAUCACAAAAUAUUUGCAGAGGUACAGACUUGAACACGGGAUCUCCACCUCAAUAGCAAGUGGCCUGACGAGUUGACCACGUGAUGUUUUGUGCCUAAUACUAGUGUGCGGCCUUUUUGUAUGCUUAUUUGGUCGAAAAAAGUUAAUUGGGCUGCAACUGGACCGCUACUAACGGUGAGGCCCACCGUGCUAAACGGGCCUGGGCCGGCCCGACCGGGCUCGUGUG
rnacentral:lncRNA from 1 species